AUAGAUUGACGAUUCAUUCAUUCAAUGCAUUAUAAAAGUGUCCACACAUUGUAAUCAGCUGUAGCGCCAUUUUGUAGUUUGGUUAUCCAUUAUUUGUCAGCAAGAAAUAUUAAUAUAUAGAAAACAAGUCUAGUUUUAAAGAUUUCCAUUAAAAUCCAAAGAAUUAUUGGAAAAAUGGUUACAGGCUAUAAAUAGAAAAAAUUUUAUGCCUAAUAAAUAUAGUAUAAUGGGGGGUUAGUGAUUCCUUCAUCUAGUAUGUCUAUAUUAUGCCGAAUUUGUGAAAGUUCAUUUAGAACUUAUCAAAAUGAUAUUAAACGUAAAAAUAUUAUUAAAAAAAUGGAAGUGUUGGUUUUUUCCACAAUAAUUGGUACAAAUAUUUUUAUUGAUCUUACUGAACAUAUUAAUGAACAUGAGAUUGGUUACAGCCAUUUUCAAAUUCUUGUAAAAUUAAUUGUUCAAAGAUAUUUAAAUAUUAGAUUUUUCCAUUUUGCUGACUUGAGAAACCAGGAAUUGAUAACUGGUAUGAGACAAAAUCUUACAAAAGCAAUACAAUUUAAUAAUCAAGAAGUCAUGUAAAUUAAUAUUUAUAUCUUCUUUUAUUUUUUAAAAAUUAUAUUGUAUAAAGAACAGGCCUUAUAUAAGACAUAUUAUAAAAAUUAUGAUAUUAUAUAUAAUCUAUGCUAAUGUAAAUAUAUUUUAUUUUUUAUAGGUGAUGAUAGAAUCAAAAAGGAUGAAUGUUUAUAAUCAAAGAUAAUAUGAAUGUGAAUCAUCAUAUUGUUAAAAAUACAUUUUGUUUUUUAAAGUGUACACAUUUAUAUUUUUAUAUAUUUAUUGUAUAAACCUUAUUUAAAUGAUUUAUAUAAUAAUUUAUACCCAUGCAAAAAAUGUUAUUAUUACACUAUGUUUUUAUUGAAAAAAAAAUAAAAGAU